rnacentral:rRNA from 1 species
CCCCGCCUGGGGAGUACGGCCGCAAGGCUAAAACUCAAAGGAAUUGACGGGGGCCCGCACAAGCGGCGGAGCAUGCGGAUUAAUUCGAUGCAACGCGAAGAACCUUACCAAGGCUUGACAUAUACCGGAAACGUCCAGAGAUGGUCGCCCCGCAAGGUCGGUAUACAGGUGGUGCAUGGUUGUCGUCAGCUCGUGUCGUGAGAUGUUGGGUUAAGUCCCGCAACGAGCGCAACCCUCGUUCUAUGUUGCCAGCACGUUAUGGUGGGAACUCAUAGGAGACUGCCGGGGUCAACUCGGAGGAAGGUGGGGAUGACGUCAAAUCAUCAUGCCCCUUAUGUCUUGGGCUUCACGCAUGCUACAAUGGCCGGUACAAAGGGCUGCGAUACCGUAAGGUGGAGCGAAUCCCAAAAAGCCGGUCUCAGUUCGGAUUGAGGUCUGCAACUCGACCUCAUGAAGUCGGAGUCGCUAGUAAUCGCAGAUCAGCAACGCUGCGGUGAAUACGUUCCCGGGCCUUGUACACACCGCCCGUCAAGUCAUGAAAGUCGGUAACACCCGAAGCC